rnacentral:rRNA from 1 species
GUGCCUAAUACAUGCAAGUCGAACGCUUCACUUCGGUGAAGAGUGGCGAACGGGUGAGUAAUACAUAAGUAACCUGGCAUCUACAGGGGGAUAACUGAUGGAAACGUCAGCUAAGACCGCAUAGGUGUAGAGAUCGCAUGAACUCUAUAUGAAAAGUGCUACGGGACUGGUAGAUGAUGGACUUAUGGCGCAUUAGCUUGUUGGUAGGGUAACGGCCUACCAAGGCGACGAUGCGUAGCCGACCUGAGAGGGUGACCGGCCACACUGGGACUGAGACACGGCCCAGACUCCUACGGGAGGCAGCAGUAGGGAAUUUUCGGCAAUGGGGGAAACCCUGACCGAGCAACGCCGCGUGAAGGAAGAAGUAAUUCGUUAUGUAAACUUCUGUCAUAGAGGAAGAACGGUGGAUAUAGGGAAUGAUAUCCAAGUGACGGUACUCUAUAAGAAAGCCACGGCUAACUACGUGCCAGCAGCCGCGGUAAUACGUAGGUGGCGAGCGUUAUCCGGAAUUAUUGGGCGUAAAGAGGGAGCAGGCGGCACUAAGGGUCUGUGGUGAAAGAUCGAAGCUUAACUUCGGUAAGCCAUGGAAACCGUAGAGCUAGAGUGUGUGAGAGGAUCGUGGAAUUCCAUGUGUAGCGGUGAAAUGCGUAGAUAUAUGGAGGAACACCAGUGGCGAAGGCGACGAUCUGGCGCAUAACUGACGCUCAGUCCCGAAAGCGUGGGGAGCAAAUAGGAUUAGAUACCCUAGUAGUCCACGCCGUAAACGAUGAGUACUAAGUGUUGGGUGUCAAAGCUCAGUGCUGCAGUUAACGCAAUAAGUACUCCGCCUGAGUAGUACGUUCGCAAGAAUGAAACUCAAAGGAAUUGACGGGGGCCCGCACAAGCGGUGGAGCAUGUGGUUUAA